rnacentral:pre_miRNA from 1 species
CUGUGACCGUCCCAUCCUUGCGGAUCAGCUCCCGUCGUCUGUCGUCAGAGUGCGGGAGUCCAACCGCAAGGAUGGGAUGGUCAGAGAA